GUCAUUCAAAAGUCGGUAGUGGGAUGGGGAAUCAAAGUGGGUUUAACUCGCCGCUGGCCACUUGACUGUGUACUUUGUGCCUCGUUGGUUGUUUUAAGGUCUGUGCUGUCUAGAUUAUUUACAUUUGAAUAAUUAUCCGCUUAGCUGUAUAAUAAUGGAGAUUGAAAUUCUCGCCACCUCCGGCUCUAAAUCAUUCGGGAAAUGCAAGGUGAAGCCGCAGACGACAGUAACAGAGCUGAAGGAUAUAAUUAAAAGUCAAAUAAAGAAGGCACCUCAUCCAGAUCGACAAUCAAUUCGACUGGAAGCCCGCGGGAAACCAGUGAAAGACACUGAGACCCUUCAGUCACUGGGAAUCCGCGAUGGGAGCAAGCUCUACCUCAAAGACCUGGGCCCGCAAAUUGGCUGGAAGACAGUGUUCCUCGCGGAAUAUGCCGGCCCACUGGCCGUGUACUUGCUAUUCUAUCAGCGGCCUCAGCUGAUCUAUGGCGCAGAUGCUUCGUUACCGAUUUCCACCACGACACAUAUCGCAGCGGCUUGCUGGUCAGUGCAUUAUGUAAAGCGGCUGAUGGAGACGAUCUUCGUGCAUAGGUUCUCGCACAACACGAUGCCCAUACGGAACCUCUUCAAAAACUGUUCUUACUACUGGGGCUUCGCGGCUUAUGUGGCUUAUCACGUUAAUCACCCGCUGUUCACCUCACCCUGCGCCGUUCAGGUGUUCGCUGGUCUGGCUGCAUUCUUGCUCUGCGAAUUGGGCAAUUUCUCUAUUCACGUCAAUUUGAGAAAUUUAAGGCCCCCAGGUUCGAAAGUUCGGAAAAUCCCAAGACCGGACGGCAACCCAUUGACGAGUCUGUUCAAUUUCGUGUCGUGCCCCAACUAUACGUACGAAAUCGGUGCAUGGGUGUCGUUCUCCGUGAUGACCCAGUGCAUUCCAGCGUUCUUGUUCGCGAUCGCCGGCGGUUGGCAGAUGGCUGUCUGGGCGCUGGGCAAGCACCGCAACUACAGGAAGGAGUUCAGCGACUACCCCAAAGGGCGCAAGGCCAUAUUCCCCUUCGUUUUGUAGGGGGAUGUAAAUGGAAGUCAGUUUUUGUCUGAUAGCUCGCACUGUGAGCAUUUACCAUUUUUCAUAGUAGUUCUAUUUAUGUAGCUGUUCCAGGGAUUAUGUUAGUUUCAUUUUGGUGGAUCAAGCGAUCAAUUCUGUCUAGACUAAGUAUGGUGGAAAUAUAAGGAUUGGAGAAGGAAAA
rnacentral:misc_RNA from 1 species